GUCCCUGUGGUGGAAUUGGUAGACACGCUACUUUGAGGGGGUAGUGUCCGAAAGGAUGUGUGAGUUCGAAUCUCCUCUCGGACA
rnacentral:tRNA from 1 species